CCUACGGGUGGCAGCAGUGGGGAAUAUUGGACAAUGGGCGAAAGCCUGAUCCAGCCAUGCCGCGUGUGUGAAGAAGGCCUUCGGGUUGUAAAGCACUUUCAGUGGGGAAGAAAGCCUUGGGGCUAAUACCCUCGAGGAAGGACAUCACCCACAGAAGAAGCACCGGCUAACUCCGUGCCAGCAGCCGCGGUAAUACGGAGGGUGCGAGCGUUAAUCGGAAUUACUGGGCGUAAAGCGCGCGUAGGCGGUCUGAUAAGCCGGUUGUGAAAGCCCCGGGCUCAACCUGGGAACGGCAUCCGGAACUGUCAGGCUAGAGUGCAGGAGAGGAAGGUAGAAUUCCCGGGGUAGCGGUGAAAUGCGUAGAGAUCGGGAGGAAUACCAGUGGCGAAGGCGGCCUUCUGGACUGACACUGACGCUGAGGUGCGAAAGCGUGGGUAGCAAACAGGAUUAGAUACCCGUGUAGUC
rnacentral:rRNA from 1 species